rnacentral:tRNA from 1 species
UCCUCAGUAGCUCAGUGGUAGAGCACACGACUGUUAAUCGUUAGGUCACUAGUUCGAAUCUAGUCUGGGGAGCCA